CAAUAGCGUAUAUUUAAGUUGUUGCAGUUAAAAAGCUCGUAGUUGGAUUUCGGUUAAGAGCGACCGGUCCGCCGUUUGGUGUGCACUGGUUGGUUUUAACUUCCUGUAGAGGACGUGCUCUGGGUUUAACGACCUGGACUCGGAGUCUACGUGGUUACUUUGAAAAAAUUAGAGUGUUCAAAGCGGGCUUACGCUUGAAUAUUUCAGCAUGGAAUAACACUAUAGGACUCCUGUCCUAUUUCGUUGGUCUCGGGACGGGAGUAAUGAUUAAGAGGAACAGUUGGGGGCAUUCGUAUUUCAUUGUCAGAGGUGAAAUUCUUGGAUUUAUGAAAGACGAACUUCUGCGAAAGCAUUUGCUAAGGAUGUUUUCAUUAA
rnacentral:rRNA from 1 species